CUUGCCAUACCACCCUGAAUGUAUACGAUCUCAUUUGAUUUUGGAAACUAAGUGGGGUCGGGCCUGGUUAGUACUUGGAUGGGAGACCAAAUGUUCUAACCUGAAAAAUUUAAGU
ensembl:rRNA 5S_rRNA 5S ribosomal RNA